UACGUAGGGGGCAAGCGUUGUCCGGAUUCAUUGGGCGUAAAGAGCGUGUGAGCGGCCAGGUAGGUCGGUUGUGAAAACUGGAGGCUCAACCUUCAGAGGUCGACCGAAACCAUCUGGCUAGAGUCCGGGAGAGGAGAGUGGAAUUCCUGGUGUAGCGGUGAAAUGCGCAGAUAUCAGGAAGAACACCCGUGGCGAAAGCGGCUCUCUGGAACGGUACUGACGCUGAGACGCGAAAGCGUGGGGAGCGAACAGG
rnacentral:rRNA from 1 species